UCGGGAUCCGGGGUGCGCGGCAGGCGCAGCAGCGCCUGCUGGAGGUCGGCGGCCAGCGGUUCGGCCCCGGUGGCCUCGAU
rnacentral:tRNA from 1 species